GAUGAACGCUGGCGGCGUGCCUAACACAUGCAAGUCGAACGAGAAACCUGGUGCUUGCAUCGGGUAGAAAGUGGCGAACGGGUGAGUAACACGUUGGUGACCUGCCCCGAGGUGGGGGAUAACUGUGGGAAACCACAGCUAAUACCCCAAAUGUUAAGGAGUUUAGACGCCCUUAACUAAAGCUCUGGCGCCUCGGGAGGGGCCUGCGGGCUAUCAGCUUGUUGGUGGGGUAACGGCCUACCAAGGCUCAGACGGCUAGGGGGCGUGAGAGCGCGACCCCCCACAAUGGGACUGAGACACGGCCCAUACUCCUACGGGAGGCAGCAGUGAGGAAUAUUGCGCAAUGGGGGCAACCCUGACGCAGCAACGCCGCGUGGAUGAUGAAGGCCUUCGGGUUGUAAAAU
rnacentral:rRNA from 1 species